rnacentral:rRNA from 1 species
GACGUAGGGGGCAAGCGUUGUCCGGAUUUAUUGGGCGUGAAGAGCUCGUAGGCGGUGUGUCACGUCGGCCGUGAAAACCUGCAGCUUAACUGUGGGCGUGCGGUCGAUACGGGCAUCACUGGAGUUCGGCAGGGGAGACUGGAAUUCCUGGUGUAGCGGUGAAAUGCGCAGAUAUCAGGAGGAACACCGGUGGCGAAGGCGGGUCUCUGGGCCGAUACUGACGCUGAGGAGCGAAAGCGUGGGGAGCAAACAGG